AAGCUCGUAGUUGAAUUUCGGGAUUGACACAUCGGUCGUGCCUUAAGGGGUAUGAACUGGUGUAGUCAAUUUCUCACCUUCUGGAGAACCGCGAUGCCCUUAAUUGGGUGUCGCGGGGAACCAGGACCUUUACUUUGAAAAAAUUAGAGUGUUUAAAGCAGGCAUUUUGCUUGAAUACAUUAGCAUGGAAUAAUAAAAUAGGACGGCAUGAUUCUAUUUUGUUGGUUUCUAGGAUCACCGUAAUGAUUAAUAGGGAUAGUUGGGGGCAUUAGUAUUCAAUUGUCAGAGGUGAAAUUCUUGGAUUUAUUGAAGACUAACUACUGCGAAAGCAUUUGCCAAGGAUGUUUUCAUUAAUCAAGAACGAAAGUUAGGGGAUCGAAGACGAUCAGAUACCGUCGUAGUCUUAACCAUAAACUAUGCCGACUAGGAAUCAGACGAUGUUAAUUUUUUAAUGACUCGUUCGGCA
rnacentral:rRNA from 1 species